CACCAGCCCAGUCCUACACUCUACCAAUAUGUCAGGCUGUAAGAAGCCUCGAACUGUAGCGAAUCCACUAGAGUCGACUAUUACAACACCGAGCGAAAGAAUCCUGAAAGAAUGCCACAACUUAUAUAUCGACAUCAACAACGGAUUAGUGAAAAUUGCAGAGAGUUUGGGGCUCAGGCUGCUACCUCCUCGGAAAAAGAUUAUAGUGAUGAUUAUGGGAAACCACUCGGCCGGGAAAAGCUCCUUUAUUAACUGGUAUGUGGAGGAACACAUACAGAAGACAGGUGUUGCCAUAGAGACACAAGGCUUCACGUUUAUUACCAGUGGCAGGAAACGAGAAUCUCUUACAGGAAAUGCAACGUUACACCUUUACCCACAUUUCAGACCACUGCUGGAGUUCAAAGGUGUGACGGAUUACCUGAGCGCUGAGAUCUCCACCUCCAAACAGAAGAAGUUCAGCUUGGUGACGUUUGUUGACACUCCGGGGUUGGUGGAUGGAGAUAUGGUAUACCCGUUCGAUGUCAACAGCGCCAUCACCUCUUUCGGUGAGCAGGCGGACCUCAUCUUUGUGUUUUUCGAUCCGAUGGGCCAGGCGUUGUGCAAGCGCACGUUGAACAUCGUGGAGAAGCUGAGCGAGAAGUGUGGAGACAAACUGAGAUUUUACCUGAGCAAAGCUGACGAGGCUGGACGAGAAACGGACAGACAGCGAGUCAUGAUGCAGAUCGUCCAAGAGCUGUGCAGACGACCGGGACUCAACAAAUGUGGCUUCGAAAUGCCCACCAUAUACAUCCCCAACCCUCAAAAACCCAGCAGAUGUGUCAAUCAAAUUGAUGAGGUGUGUGAGACGAUUGAGAAGAGUAUAAACCAGGCGGUGCAGAAAACUCUUAACCAGCUGGAGAAAGACUGUGACCUCAUCAUCUCUACCAUCAGCAAUACACUGGAAAAGGACCGGAUGAAUGUGAGCAGUAAUAAAAGCAACCGCUUUCAUUCUUUCCUGUGUGGAUUUCUGGGAAUCUUCCUCCCGUCGCUGUUCAUCCUCAGCUUCAUCAUCAGCACUUUCGCUCCAGAGGAGCUGGACGCUCUCGUAGGCGAGGGACUCGCUAAACCACUCUACUUAUCCACCGGUGUAGUUGUGUAUCUGUGGGACUGGAUCCCUGAAGACUGGCAGAUCAUGUUUGUGAUCACAUUUGGUGCUUUCUCCUACCUUUUGGUUUUUCUGGCCAAAUAUUUUGCACGAGUAACUUACCCAACACUGGUUACAUCAUCAGUUAAACAGCAGGUAAAUCUUAUUUUUUCAGCCAAGGCAACAAGACGCUGACUAAGAGAGAGAAAAAGAAGCUGGUGGAAGACAGUGAUUAUGUUCAAGAUAGUGUCAAAGCCAAGAAGCGUAAACUUUAUGAGGAGUAUCUCCAACAGUGUGCGGCAGAAUACGACUUGUGAAGAAAACCAGCAAGUUUGUCAUAAAUCAUUUCUAUAAAGCACAUCCAUGCAUCAAACGUCGAUAUUGUUUCAUGUGUGUCAUAGUGCAUGAAUGAUUGUACAAAUUAGUGCCUUUUUUGUUAAAUGUGAAUUAUUGAUAAGAGUUUUAAAAUGUGAUGAACAAACAUGACCUCAAUGUUAUCUUACACCAGCUGUUUUUUUAUCUUUGUGAAGCAUUUUUAAUCAUCAGAAUUACAACUGUUUACAGUUAAUAAGCUGCAUUAUCACAUUAUUGUCAUUUUAAUAUCACUUUUGUGGCCUUUUAAUCUGCAUUGUAGCACUCUACUCCACACCAAACCAAACAUGAUACUUGCUCACUGAAUUCAACAGCACAGAUUUUGUAAUACGAGUUUGUUUUCAGUUUUUACAACUUAAAAGGGACAUUUAUACAUUUUAUAAACGAAUGUGUCAUAAUUCGUUCCUCCGGUGGCCACAGUGUGACUUUAAAUCAAACUUUCUUGAGGUCUUCCUGUCAUUCAUAUGUUUAUGUGUAUUAACUAGUCUGUGUUUGUGAAUAUGAUGUCGAUAUAUGAUUGUAGAAAGAUUGUUUUUGUUGUGCAAUGCCUACAAUAAUCGUAUCAAAUCUUUUCAGUGAUAUUCUUAGGCCAGUUUUUGAAUACUAUGAACACAUUUUGGAAAAGCUUUUGUAUCGUCCAUUUAUAAUGCAGUUUCUUCUUGUCAGACUGCUGCUCGGAGCACUGUUUUGUUUUGUUUUUAUUUACACCUACAUUUUAUUUAAUGUAACUUAAAGAAACAGUAGCACUUGCGUGAUUUUAAGGAAAACAGCAAGUGCAUUUACCUCAGUGUUGGAGCAAAAUUAAAAUCUUCGUAUUUUGUUUUUGUCUUUAUGCUGCGCUAUUGUCGCACUAUUUUUCAGAUGGAUGCCAAUUUCAACAUAAUGCUUUAAAAUGUCCUAUCCUAACCUUUGGAUUUUUAACAGUCUUUUUAAGAACUUUGUUUGUUUGUAAUAAUCUUAUUGUUUUUAACUUAAGUAUGUCACUGUCUUGUAUGAACUCCCUUGAUUUAUUUGUUUUUGUUUGUAUAUACAAAAGUGUAUACAACAGUCAUGUGUGCUUAUGAAAGAACACGGCAAUAAAAUGUCAUGGC